GGGAAUGAUGAUUUCACAGACUAGAGUCUCUGACAUGGUCCUGAUGUCAAAAAUAAAUUCUGACUC
rnacentral:snoRNA from 1 species